rnacentral:rRNA from 1 species
GACGCAGGGGGCUAGCGUUGUUCGGAAUUACUGGGCGUAAAGCGCGUGUAGGCGGUUAUCCAAGUCAGGUGUGAAAGCCUUGAGCUCAACUCAAGAAAUGCACUUGGUACUGGGUGACUAGAGGACCGGAGAGGAUAGUGGAAUUCCCAGUGUAGUGGUGAAAUACGUAGAGAUUGGGAAGAACACCAGUGGCGAAGGCGGCUAUCUGGACGGUUUCUGACGCUAAGACGCGAAAGCGUGGGGAGCAAACAGG